UACGUAGGGUGCGAGCGUUGUCCGGAAUUAUUGGGCGUAAAGGGCUCGUAGGCGGUCUGUUACGUCAGGAGUGAAAACUCGGGGCUCAACCCCGAGCCUGCUUCUGAUACGGGCAGACUGGAGGUAUGCAGGGGAGAACGGAAUUCCUGGUGUAGCGGUGAAAUGCGCAGAUAUCAGGAGGAACACCGGUGGCGAAGGCGGUUCUCUGGGCAUUACCUGACGCUGAGGAGCGAAAGUGUGGGGAGCGAACAGG
rnacentral:rRNA from 1 species